rnacentral:lncRNA from 1 species
AACGGUCAAGCGAUUGAAUGGUUCAGAUCUAAAGGAGAAUUGUGAUCUAGUAGUUGAGGGAAUAGGAUGGCAAAACUAUGAUUUUGCCAUUAAUGAAGGCAUUCCAAGGGACCACAUGCAGCCAUGUUUGCGAGGUUUGUGUGGUCCAGAUUCAUUGAGUGGUGGGUUUAAAAACCCAUCUAGGCCACCCAACCCAACCCAAUCUGAAAAGGAAGAAAGAAAGAACAUAAGAACAAAAGAAGA